rnacentral:lncRNA from 1 species
ACCGGGCGUAUAGGCAUUGUACGACCCGUGGUGACACCGUUGGCUUCCCCGAAUGCCCCGGCUACGGCUACCCAGGCUCAUCAGCCACAGGAGCCAGCAGCCCCGGGUGCGCCACCUCCAGAGCGUACUGCCGCAACCGGAGGUACCGUCCCAGCUCAGCGAGGCAUUGCCAGCGCUGAACCUCGUCUCCGACGACGAGUAGCUGAGUCUGGCAGCCGCAGCGAUCCGAUCCCUGCGGACCCACAAGAAGAAGAACGGCGUAUUGCUGAGGACAUCAUUCAUAAGGUCAACAAGUAUGCACUACCAUUGGGUACAACUCUACGAUGCAACCCUAUCAGCAUCUACACGAAGGUUGGCAGCCGAGUCCUUGGGUUGGCUCGUCAGCACACCAACACUGGCAACCCCCAGCCUGGCCCCAUGUUUGGUCCAGCGAGGCCUGCGGCAGGCACCAUGCAAGCUUCUCUUUCAGAGCGACCAUCUUCAACAAUACCCGCCUGGAAGUCUGAUGCCGUCGUACCACCCUGGCAAGUUUGCAAAGCUACCGUAUGGAUAAUUGAUGGACAUGGAGGACAAGUUCCCGUCCCUGCUGUCAUCGAUUCUGGGGCUUCUCAUAGUGUUGUUACACGAGACACACUACGGCGUUUAGACCUUCUACACCUGAUGGAGGAGACGGAGGUGACGUUCCUGAAUGCGGAUGGCAAUCGUGGUCGGGCCGCUGGACGUGUCAGUGAACUGCAAGUGUCCACUGGCGACCUAACGAUGCUGCUGAGUCCGUUCGUCAGCACCGCCCUCAACUAUCAGCUACUCCUGGGCACUGACUUCCUCUACCCAAUACGAGCAAGCAUUUCGUACGACAGUAGUCGCCUGGAAUACACCAAUGACCGGGAUCAGCGGUCCAACAUUGCUAUCCAUUUUCUUCGGAGCCCCAGCUCUAAUAUUCCCCCGUCUGCUCGGCUUUGGGACGACUCACCUGAGCAAGACGACACUCAACCAGCUUCCAUGUUGACGGCCGAGGCAUCAAUACAGCGGCCUGAGGCGCCCACGCCACAAGGGCAGAUGUCACCUGCGGCUAUCAAUAGAGGCUCCGCGCCUGAGACCAUUGAUUCACCUGAGGGAAACAGCGGAGAGGUUAGUGAUGGUGAUUCGACAGCCCGUGGGGACAUGGACAUGGAACACAUCGUCGGCCUACUUGUACGGCAAGUGCUUAGGUCAGACGAGAUUCCGUCGGAAAGUGCCUCCAGCGGCGAAUGGGCUGCGGAUGCAUGGAGUACCGACAGCGUCGUCAGUUCUGGCAGUGAAGAGGCUCGGGCAAAUGUCUGGCCUGGAGAUGAGUUCGAGUACGACAAUGACUCGCACUCCGGACCUGGACCGCCAAUAUCGACCCCUGCGGAUCCAUUCCGUUCUUUUCCUGAAACUACUCCCGUCUUAAGUUCGCGAUAGCUCCUGUUACCACGAUUGCUAACUGAGGAGUGUGCUUCCGUUACCCACAGCCAUGCUGCGGCAGCACAGUUUGAUGCGAACAUGCCAGCUGCCCUUGCCCCAGACGGCUUGGAUCAUGACGGACAUUUAGAGGAGGCUCAUUUUCGCGGGUUGGUAGCCCGUGCGGUUCGGCCAGUCAAGAGCCCUACCCCUGAGCUACGCGAGUUGCUAAGCAGCAAAGUAAACACCGAUCUUCAGUGCCUCGACCACCAGCAGCUGGUCGCAUGUUUGACUGACAACUUUGACAUGUUCGCCUUAACCAACCGAGAGCUAGGGCGUACGUCCUGGGUGUCCAUGAAGGUGGACACGGGAGAUCAUCCUCCUAUCGUGCAGAAUCCUUACCGUCUGUCACGAACGGAGAAAGCCGCCGUUGAUGCUGAGAUGCGGCAGAUGCUACAGGACGGGAUCAUUGAAUUGUCCAACAGUCCUUGGGUGUCUCCAGUAGUAGUCGUUCCCAAGAAAAACGGAGAACUCCGGCCCUGUGUGGAUAUGCGGAGGGUCAACGACGUCACUAAGGACAUCCGGUUUCCGAUAGGCCACAUCCAGGAUAUUUUGGAUAUUGCUGCACCUCCGGGUGGCGAGACUCGUUACUACUCCAGCCUGGACUUGAAGUCGGGCUACUGGCAAGUCCCGAUGGCGGACGAGGCUUCUAAGGAGCGUACGGCAUUUGCCACGCCCACAGCUCAGUAUCGAUAUGUACGAAUGCCCAUGGGUCUAAAGGGGGCAGCCGCCGU